CAGCAGCCGCGGUAAUACGGAGGGUGCAAGCGUUAAUCGGAAUUACUGGGCGUAAAGCGCACGCAGGCGGUCUGACAAGUCAGAUGUGAAAUCCCCGGGCUUAACCUGGGAACUGCAUUUGAAACUGUCAGGCUGGAGUCUUGUAGAGGGGGGUAGAAUUCCAGGUGUAGCGGUGAAAUGCGUAGAGAUGUGGAGGAAUACCGAUGGCGAAGGCAGCCCCCUGGGCCAAUACUGACGCUCAUGCACGAAAGCGUGGGGAGCAAACAGGAUUAGAUACCCGAGUAGUCCCUGUCUCUUAUUC
rnacentral:rRNA from 1 species